UGGGGAAUAUUGCGCAAUGGGCGAAAGCCUGACGCAGCGACGCCGCGUGGGUGAUGAAGGCCUUCGGGUCGUAAAACCCUGUCGGGUGGAACGAAUUCCACCUCGCUAAUACCGAGGUGGCUUGACGGUACCACCGAAGGAAGCCCCGGCUAACUACGUGCCAGCAGCCGCGGUAAUACGUAGGGGGCGAGCGUUGUUCGGAUUUACUGGGCGUAAAGAGCGCGUAGGCGGUUCGAUAAGUCAGAGGUGAAAUCCCUCGGCUCAACCGAGGACCCGCGUCCGAUACUGUCGAACUUGAGUGCAGGAGAGGAGAGCGGAAUUCCCAGUGUAGCGGUGAAAUGCGUAGAUAUUGGGAGGAACACCGGUGGCGAAGGCGGCUCUCUGGACUGUCACUGACGCUGAGGCGCGAAAGCUAGGGGAGCAAACGGG
rnacentral:rRNA from 1 species